AUCUGAUUCUCUCCAGCAAAAAAAAAACGUUAAUUCUUUUUUUUUUUCUUAUCAUCUUCGACGUUCUGUUUUUCUUUCAAAUCUGAGAAAUCAUAAGUUCUUUGUUAAGAUUCUUUCAUAUUCAAAUCAGAAAUAAGAGAUUACGAAUCCCUUUUAAAUUUAGAUUCCAUAUCUCCAAAAUUCCUCCUAUGCAUAAAACAGUAUCGUUCCAGAUAACAUGUGGCCACUCGUUCUUGGAGACUAUGGUUUUCCAUCCACAGAUCCGACACGGGCAGUUAGAGCAGCCAUCUUGUUGUUGUCCAUGAUAUCAAUGAGCUAUACGGCUACCUCUCUGUUCAAGUUCUAGCCAUAGCUGGCUAUAGCUGCUACGCCGUGACUUUUCUUGUGGGCAAGCGUCACGUGAGACCGUUCAAGCUUUUGUUGUAUCCUCUUUUUUCUUUCUCUAGAAAUAAUCCUACUGUUGGGUGUGUUGUGGCCAACUGAUAAGGGAAAACAUCUAUUUUAGCAGCAAAGCCAAUUCAUAACCUUGAGUUCUCUAAUGCAUAAGCUAAAUGGAAAAAAUGAUGUGGGCUCACUCGGGCAAGAACAAAUUCAGACUUCAGUUAAUCAAUUCUUUAGCCUUUAGUUUUUAAAUAUAUGAACAUUCUUAUUCUUUUU